rnacentral:piRNA from 1 species
GAAAGACCUUGACGGUGUCUC